AUUGAACGCUGGCGGCAGGCCUAACACAUGCAAGUCGAACGAGUGGCGGACGGGUGAGUAAUGUUUGGGCAACUGCCUGCUGGAGGGGGAUAACUACUGGAAACUGUAGCUAAUACCGCAUAACAUCGGAUCAGCCCAGAUGGGAUGAGCUAGUAGGUGGGGUAAAGGCUCACCUAGGCAACGAUCCCUAGCUGGUCUGAGAGGAUGACCAGCCACACUGGAACUGGGAAACGGUCCAGACUCCUACGGGAGGCAGCAGUGGGGAAUAUUGCACAAUGGGCGCAAGCCUGAUGCAGCCAUGCCGCGUGUAUGAAGAAGGCCUUCGGUUUGUAAAGUACUUUCAGCGGGGAGGCGGUACCCACAGAAGAAGCACCGGCUAACUCCGUGCCAGCAGCCGCGGUAAUUC
rnacentral:rRNA from 1 species